rnacentral:rRNA from 1 species
AACACCGAAGUUAAGCAUCGUAGAGCCAGGUCAGUACUUAGAUGGGGGACCGCUCGGGAACACCUGGUACUGUAAG